GAUCUGGUUGAUUCUGCCAGUAGUCAUAUGCUUGUUUCAAGGACUUAGCCAUGCAUGCCUCAGAAUCACUGCAUUGCAGGAAUCUGCGCAUGGCUCAUUACAUCAGACGUAAUCUGCCGCCAAAAUCUUGCGGUCUCCGCAUUAUUGGAUAACUUGGCGAAACGCCAAGCUAAUACAUGAACCAAAGGGACGCUCCCUGCUACGGCCGCGGGGUGACUCGCGGUCACGGGACGUCCUGCGAAUGAAUGAAAUUAAGACCAACGCCCCCACCCGGGGGCAGUAACACCCAGACGUGUUGACUCAAUUCAUUCCGUGCGAAAGCCGGCCCUUCUUGGUGCCGGCGUGUGCUGACGAACAACUGCCCUAUCAGCCAGUGAUGGCCGUGUAGUGGACUGCCAUGGCGUUGACGGGAGCGGGGGAUUAGGGUUCGAUUCCGGAGAGGGAGCCUGAGAAAUAGCUACCACUUCUAC
rnacentral:ncRNA from 1 species